rnacentral:lncRNA from 1 species
UUGCACAAGUGUAUUCAAUUCAACAAGUAGUCUGAACCGUUGCAUAAAAGGAACUGCUGGUGCUGGCAAACCACACCUCAUUCUAAUAAUAUUCACAAGUGUAUAAUAAGGUUGAUGCCGAGCAGACUGCGCACCUCCUGGAUGAAUGCCUUGGCCUCUAUCUUUGCUGCUGCUUCUGCUGCACAAGAAGAAGAAGAUGAGACAUGUGCUAGAAAGGAAGGAAUGCAUCCCGAAACAACAAGGGAGCAUCAGGUAGCUGACCUUUGUGCCCUUGACGUUGGAGCUCCAUGGACCUGAGCUUGGUGGUGACCAAUCAAUAGCCGCUUCACAAGGAGAGAGAGAGGAAAACAAAGGUUAAUCACGGGUACCUUGGCAAAUGGGCA